rnacentral:rRNA from 1 species
AUGGCAGAGGUGUCCAGGCGGGCGGCAAGCAGCCUCCCCGAAGAGCUCCUCGUGGAGAUCCUGGCGCGGGUGCCCUACCGGUCCCUCUGCCGCUUCCGACCCUCUCCGGCUUCUUCUGCCCUCGACGACCUCCGCGAGGACAGCUUAUGCCACGCCCUCGACGACAAUUUGAGAGAGAGAUACGUUUCCUCAAUUUUCCGGCCGCUGGUCGAUCCGUCUCUCCCUUUCCUGCGGGUGCGGGGCGGCGGCUAUACCCAUGGCUUCAUACUCGUGGAUUGCUGUGGGGGACUCCUCCUCUGCGCGUGCUUCACUUCGCCCACCCAGUCCCGCCGACAAGUGGAUUAUCUGGUCUGCAAUCCGGCCACCGAGAAGUGGAGCGUCUUGCCUCGCACCGAGGGGCUGCACUCGGGGAACUUGCUCCGUCUGGGCCAUGACCCAGCUGAUCCCUCCCGCUUCACCGUCUUUGUGUUACUGCGGCAUCACGGCAAUGACGACCAACUAACUGGAGUUGAGAUCUACUCGUCCCAGACCAGAAGAUGGACUUCAAAGCAGAGUGGGUGGCCUCAAGAAACUAGUGUUGGUUUCUAUGAGGCAGCUGAUUCUGUCUUCCUGGAUGGCACUCUGCAUCUGCCCACCGACGGGUUUUCUUCUCUUUCGGCUCCUAAGGUUGUCACCGUGGACAUGGACGGCAAGACUUGGCAGGAAAUUCCUUUGCCAGGGAUGCAUCGGCCAGUCUCAAAGGCGCUUGCACGCUGUGAAGAUUGA